CAGUGGCGGUUUUAGGUACGGGCGAACCGGGCGGUCGCCCGGGGCGGCAUCUUGUAGGGGGCGGCACGAGCGCUUAAAAAAAAAAAAAAAAAAAAAAAAAGAAUAAUAAUAAUAAACGUCGCAAAACGAUUUUCUAUUAUCCAUCACUUGUGUGAGGAAUUAGGGAAUUGGCGCCCCUGUUGCUCAGAAGGUAGGCCUACUGCACUGCACUGUGCAGAGGAAGGGGCGAAGGGAGGGGUUUGCGGGGGACAGUUCACCUCUGGGUCUCCUUAAUGAAACGGGAAAGGGGGGAUGAAUGGGGAUCCACUGUAUAGUAGCCUACAACAGUCUAUUAGUGGGCUAAAAUCAGUCACACCUUGACUUUCUUCCAAACAACGCACAUCUCAUAAUGUUAUGAAUGCAGACCUAUGAUUCCUGCACAUUUAAUUAACUGUGUGAAAUGGCUAAUAAAAAUAGGUGACAAAACGAUUAAGAGGUCACCCAGGUGAAUUGGUUUGGUCUUGACUGUGGUCGCGAGUGGAUCAUGGGAAUUUGUGGAUUGUUGUCGACUGUCGAGUGCCAAACACGAUGGACAGAAAGCGGUCAAAGCCAUCAGGUGCCCAGUUCCGAAAAAAAAGAAAAGUAGAACAGGAGAAACGAGCAAAGGAUAAAGAUAUGUAAUGGCCUAAUAAUAACAGUAUCAUGUCAUGAGUAAAGGGCUAACGUCAAUGUUAAUUGAUAGGGCCUAGCCUAGUAUAACUUUUACGUUUGUUAGCCAUCUUGCAAUGAUACCUAUGCUUAGCCUAUAAAAUAAUAAUUCGGUUUUAACAAACACAACAAGUAAUUUCACCAUGAGAUGGAUUAUGCUUUGCAACAAAACGGUCAAAACCUCAAAAGUUCUGAUUAUUUAUUUCCAUCAUUUUGGUUAACGUUGCUGUUUAGACAACGCAAUUUUCAUGUAACAAGGUAGGUAGGCUAGUUUCAAAGACGAACACUUGGCAUUUGCAACAAAUCCGUGACAGCAGUUUAAUCACAACAAUCAUUCAGUCAUAACUAAAAGAGUGCAAAGCAUAGUAGCCUAUUCGAGGCAGUAACCAAAGAACUAAUUGUUCCUCCCUAAUUUAAUAUGACAGCAGGCAUUUAGCAUGUAGGCCUAAGGGCAUGUUUAUGAAAUUUGCUAUCAAUGGAUGUUUUGUUUUGUAUAAGAGCUAAAUUGUAGCCUGAAGUCUUUUAAUGACACUUUCAAUUUCAGGGGCACUUCUAAAAUACUUUGGAGCAUCCUCUGCCACUGCUCAAGAUGAGCCACCCACAGCCCCUGUUUCACAGGAUGAGGAGGAGCCAUCAACCUCAUCAGCUGCACAGGCCUCUUCUGAGGUGGUCCCUGUCCUUGAGGAUGAGCACCAAUCCAUGUCUCCACAAACAUCUCCCUCUACGUCUGCUUCUCCUCAGCAUGAGCCUUCAGAAAUGCCUGGAGCUGAAUGCCCCACUGCUGAGGAGCCUCUGUCAACUGACCCUGCUAAAUGGCCUACACUUCUGACGGACAGGAUUCGGACUGAACUGGUUCGCAGAGGACCCUGUCCAUUAUAAGGAAGUUUGUCCAGGUACAUCACAGGGAAUUUGGUCCAGGUCCAUCACAGUGAAGCUAGUCCAGGUCCAUCACAAGGAAGUUGGUUAAGGUCCAUCACAAGGAAGUUGGUCCAGGUCCAUCACAGUGAAGCUGGUCCAGGCCCAUCAUAAGGAAGUUGGUACAGGUCCAUCACAGUGAAACUGGUUCAGGUCCAUCAUAAGGAAUUUGGUCCAAAUUCAUCACAGUGAAGCUAGUCCAGACCCAUCACAGUGAAGCUGGUUCAGGUCCAUCGCAGGGAAGUUAGUCCAGGCUGAUCAUAAGAAAGUUGGUCCAGGUCCAUCAUAAGAAAUAGCACUCUGCAGUCUGCACACACUCUGCUCUGGUCUGGACCCAAAUGAAUGGUCAAUAGCCUUAUGCAAUGGCAGCAACGUCUGCUACACACGCAAUACAUCACUGUUUCAAUUUAAUUUUCUCCUCAUUAAUCUGUUUAUACUAUAAUUUAAGGGGGUGGGACAUGAAACAGCAGUUCAAGUAGGGGAUUGACUUUUGCCAUGUUAAGGUAUGGAGACUGACGGAGAGUGGGUC